GCGGCUAUGGUUCAAUGGUAGAACAAUACCUUGCCAAGGUAUGGACAGGGGUUCGAUUCCCCUUAGCCGCU
rnacentral:tRNA from 1 species